AUUGUUUUCAAAUUUUUGUAAUAAGAAUGAAGUUUGUCCGUUAGUUUUUUUCCAUAUCUGAAUUAAUCAGUGUUGGCCGCGUACUAGUUGUCAUAUAUAAAUUUUAGUACUUCUUAUGAUGACAAUACAGCAGUUUACUCAAGGAAUGGAGACGCAUGGAUUCACUUAUCUCACACGUGGGAAAGUAUCAACAUCCUACAUUAAUGGACUGGAGGAGGUCGAGAAUAUUGCAGGUUUAAUGCAGUCUACGAAUAAUAGUUACUCAAAGUAAUUAAAAUUCAAUUGAUAGAAGUGCAUCAAAAAGAUGGUGUCAUGAAACCCUGACCAUUACAUAAAAAGGCAGUACGGCAGAUCACUCAAGUCACGCUGAUACAUGAAUUCACAUUUCUCACGCGUGGGAUAGUAUCAACAGCCUACGUUGCAAAUGGACUAGAAGAUGCUGAGAAUAAUACGUGUUAUAUGCAAUAUGGCAGUACGGCAGUUCACUUAAGGAAUUCUGACGCAUGGAUUCACUUAUCUCACACGUGGGAAAGUAUCAACAUCCUAUGUUGCAAAUGGACUAGAAGAUGCUGAGAAUAAUACGUGUUAUAUGCAAUAUGGCAGUACGGCAGUUCACUUAAGGAAUUCUGACGCAUGGAUUCACUUAUCUCACACGUGGGAAAGUAUCAACAUCCUAUGUUGCAAAUGGACUAGAAGAUGCUGAGAAUAAUACGUGUUAUAUGCAAUAUGGCACUACAGCAGAUCACACAAGGCAUGCUGAGACAUGGAUUCACAUUU